rnacentral:rRNA from 1 species
AAUGAACGUUGGCGGCGUGGAUUAGGCAUGCAAGUCGAACGAGAUCUGUAGCAAUACAGUGAAAGUGGCGAAAGGGAGAGUAACACGUAGGUACCUGCCCUCGGGUCUGGGAUAGCUGCGGGAAACUGCAAUUAAUACCGGAUGACGUCUCUGGACCAAAGGUGUGAUUCCGCCAGGGGAUGGGCCUGCGUCCUAUCAGCUAGUUGGUGUGGUAACGGCGCACCAAGGCUAAGCCGGGUACGGGGUGUGAGAGCAUGCCCCCGCUCACUGGGACUGAGAUACUGCCCAGACACCUACGGGUGGCUGCAGUCGAGAAUCUUCCGCAAUGGGCGCAAGCCUGACGGAGCGACGCCGCGUGUGGGAUGAAGGCCUUCGGGUUGUAAACCACUGUCAGUGGGGAGCAAAUGCAUCAGGGUUCUCCCUGGUGUUUGAGCGAUCCGCAGAGGAAGCACGGGCUAAUUCCGUGCCAGCCGCCGCUGUAAUAC